rnacentral:lncRNA from 1 species
UCAUCAUGAUCAUCUCUAAGAUAUAAACCAUCAUCAGUUGAAUCAAUUUCAUGUGGUUGUUGUGAUGUUGCAAAUAAAAGAUCAUUACCAACAUCUUCAUCAUUAUUGUUAUCAUCACUUAUUUUAUUGGUCGAUAGGACAACAAACCAUUUAUCAUCAGAAGGAUCAGUGACAUAAAACACUUGUUGAGCUUGCGACGCUAAAAUAAAAGGCUCGUCUUUGUAUCCCACCCUAUUAAAAUCGACAAGCAAGAAUCCUGACUCAUCAAUCCGAACGCCAUUAUUA